AAAAGAAACUUAUGUCAUUAUAUUAUUAAUAUAUGCUUGUCCAUCACGGUAUGGGUAUAGAACUAGUUAAUUAAUAUUAAUAAACAGAAAGACAAUAUAAUGGCUUAAACAAGAUGCACUUUAAAGUUCACUUCAGUUAGACCAUCCGUUUACUACUUCAAUUAUGUUGGUUAACGUGUCCAUACUGUUUACUAUUUAUUUAUAUUUUUCUCAAACAAUGGACUUCUACAUCAACAUCUACGUAUGUAAUAUAAGAAUAUAUAUCAAAGACCAAUUCCCCCUCAAAAGCCUAAAAUUUUACCGUCUUAAACCCACCCACUCACCAUUUCCACUUCUCACCCCUCUCACCGUCACCACCGCCACUUCAUGAGAUGGGAGUAGUUGUAGCCACCACCCUCAAAACCACUGUGAUCUUCCUCUGCUUCUUCUCCGCCCUCGCAAGGUUUGAAACAUUCACCCGAUCCUACACCACCUUCAACAGAUCUUUAGAAUUACAAGCCUUCUCCGACCUAAACUUUCAAAACUACGCCCGAAUAAGCCAAGACGCCUUGCAAAUCACCCCGGACACCAGCAACAACAACGCCGUAUUCAACCUCCGUAACCAAUCCGGCAGGGUCAUGUUCCGCCAGCCCUUCAAACUCUGGGACGGUGAUUCCGUAGCCUCCUUCAACACCUCAUUUCUCGUCAAUAUGUUCCCCAUAUCAACGAGAUUAUGCUAUUAGUGUUCAUCGAGAUUAUGCUAUAGAAGUUGAUAGUUUGGUUGUUUAUCUUGAUUUUGAUGAGAACUGAAUAUGGAACAUGUUAGUGGGUCGGGUUCAAUCCAUAUAGGAGGUUAUUUGAUUGACUUUCCAUGUGGGUACCAUGAUUCUCUAUAUUAAUGAUUCGGCUUGCCUUGAGAGAUGGUCGAUUUACAGGUUAUGCGCAGCGUAAAAGGCCCUUAAACUCAAUAAGGAAUUAUUACUCGACCGUGCUGUGAGACUUGAUUUAGUAAAGGAAAAGUGUGCUUACACUCCUGGGUACUGAUUCUUUCUUAUUAAGAUUUCAUAUCUGCUUAAAAGUUACAACAUGAAUCGACAACUGAAAAUUUAUUAUGUUUACUCGACCGUGCCAUGAGACUUGAUUUAGCAAAGGAAAAUGGUGCUUACACUACUGGGUACUGAUUCUUUCUUAUUAAGAUUUCAUAUCUGAUUAAAGUUACAACAUGAAUCGACGAUUGAAAAUUUAUUAUGUAGCAAUGAUAGGUCUUCACAAAAGAGUGGGUAAUCUCAAGUACGACCUAUAUUUGUAAGGGGAUUUGGUACCGAUGACGGUUUUGACAAUCUAUGUCUUAAAUAUCAUAAUUCCAAAAGUCUCUUAGUUAUACAGUCCAGUGUUAUUAUUUAAAAUCUUUAUUUUUGGUCUGUUGCACAGGUUAAGAGUAGCCUUGAGGACCAAUUUGGGAAAUGUGGAGAGAUUUCAAUGAUGGCUAUUCUUAAAGAUUUUGAAUAUGGUGCUUUUAAAAGGUUGUGAAAUUUCAAGAUCUUAAAGAGAUUGGAAGCAAGGCAUUGUAAAGGUAACUUUCAUCUGAUCUUAUUUGGUAAGGUACCAAAUAAGACCAUUUACGUAAAUAUUUACCCAUUUGGAGAUCGAUUCAUAUGCGCAUUGUAAGGAUGUUAACAAUUUCAACCGUCGUAGCUUCACUCCGUUGUUACAAUUUCAAACAACUGACCUGAGCAUUAAAACGACUUAUCGUUGUUGGUCCAAAACAACUGAUGACUGAUUGAUGCAAAGAACUACCAAUGGUGACCAGAAAAAUAAACAGAUGAUGCACUUACUAACAACUGAUUUGAUCUACACCUGUGGUGACUGGGCUGUGUUUCUGAUGGCGUCGUGGUGGGAACUCUUAGCUAUCAUACAUCAGUAGAUGACAGCAACUACGGUUUGAGUGAAGUAUUCGGGACAGCUUGGAGAUGACUCAAGGCAUGGGUUAACAGUCAAACUUAGCCCACUAAGUCAACUCAGUCUACGGCGGGUGUGAGUGGGUGCAGAUUCUAAAACCAACGAGAGGGAAGAACUACGUACGCCCCCGACCGCAACCGUCAAACAUGAAGAUCUAUUAGCAUAAUUAAUUGAUAUAGGCCACAAUUGCAAAUGUUGCUGCAUGGAUAUGGUUACACAUCUGUAAUACCUGCAGCUGGAGAUGGUUGUUGGGAUUUUGAUAGAAUCAUCACGGCUGGAGAUGUGAGCAAGACACCAAGGUUGCAACCGAACCGCACGGCAUGCAUCCAACCGACACUUAUUGGUCGCCCUAGCUUUUUCACGAGUGGUGGUUGAACACUUUACCUGGUUCAAUGAUAUAUAUGAAAUGGUGGAGGGUGCCACUAUGAUUCAUGUGUGUUGCUUUGAAUGUUGAGAAGCCUAGAGAUCAUGGUACGUAGGUACUUAUCAGUUCAUAAUUUGGUUUGAGACUUAGUGAUUUAUGUCGGUUUGGUCUUGGUACUGUUUUCAUUUUCAGUCCCUGUUGGUUCGGUUCAGUAGAGUUAACGUUUGGUCUUACUUUGCUUUUCCAGUUUAGAUUAAUCCUAUGACAGUUGUAAUUUUCUAUUAAUAUUAUUUUGUUUUCUUUUGACAUUAUG